rnacentral:rRNA from 1 species
GCCCCAAAGUGAGGAAUAAGCCACCGAAAGGUGGUCUAAUACUUCAUAAUAUCCAUCUCGUAUGGAUUAAAGCUUUAUGCGCUUUGGGAGGGGCCUGCGUAACAUUAGCUUGUUGGUGAGGUAAAAGCUCACCAAGGCUUCGAUGUUUAACUGGUUUGAGAGGAUGACCAGUCACACUGGGACUGAGAUACGGCCCAGACUCCUACGGGAGGCAGCAGUAAGGAAUCUUCCACAAUGGGGCAACCCUGAUGGAGCAAUACCGCGUGCAGGAUGAAGCGUUUCGGCGUGUAAACUGCUUUUAUCACCGAAGAUUAUGACUGUAGGUGAAGAAUAAGGACCGGCUAACUACGUG